rnacentral:rRNA from 1 species
AGAGCGAACGCUGGCGGCAGGCCUAACACAUGCAAGUCGAGCGGCCGUAGCAAUACGGCAGCGGCAGACGGGAGAGUAACACGUGGGAACGUACCCUUCGGUUCGGAAUAACUCAGGGAAACUUGAGCUAAUACCGGAUACGUCCGUAAGGAGAAAGAUUUAUCGCCGAGGGAUCGGCCCGCGUCCGAUUAGCUAGUUGGUGGGGUAAUGGCCCACCAAGGCGACGAUCGGUAGCUGGUCUGAGAGGAUGAUCAGCCUCACUGGGACUGAGACACGGCCCAGACUCCUACGGGAGGCAGCAGUGGGGAAUAUUGGACAAUGGGCGCAAGCCUGAUCCAGCCAUGCCGCGUGGGUGAUGAAGGCCCUAGGGUUGUAAAGCCCUUUCGGCGGGGAAGAUAAUGACGGUACCCGCAGAAGAAGCCCCGGCUAACUUCGUGCCAGCAGCCGC